rnacentral:lncRNA from 1 species
CCUCGGAGAGCCCACACACAGAUCUUGGUGCUUGCUUGUCCUCUGUGCUGACUCGUUCCCCUAUCUGCUGCAUUCCUAUAAACUGAGGCGCACUGUGGGGACAGCACGAGCUGAUACAGGCAAAGUAUUUUGGACAAUCUCUAAUAUCUAAGUGUCAGCUUCUAUUACUACUGUUCUUUCUGCUUCUGGGAAUCCCUAUCGCCCUCCACUGGACCCCCAUACUUCAGCUUCCACUCUAGGCCUGGGCUCCAGGACUUUGUCUGUUUGGCAGUCCCCGUGUUCCGUGACUCGGAGCUGGUGGCCACCCUGACCAGGAAGAUGCGGGAUCUGGAGCGGCAAGUGAGGUCUCAGACUGAUGAGUUGCUGUCUAAGGUGGGGCCCUGGUGGGGACAGGACCAGGGUCUGGUCUGAGCGGUGGAAGGGCCCAGGCUGGGGAGGUCAGUGAGUUUACUACCAUAAUAGGCCAGGGCAGGUGGGUUCUAGAACCGUCUCUCCCAAUGAACCUCCCAGUUCAAGCCCUAGGUAUGGCCUGGGGCUGAUCUGGGUCCCUGUGACUUGAGCAGAGAGGCUAAGGGUCUUCUCUACAGCUGAGUGAGGCCGGUAGCCUUGGACAAGGUGGUAGCAGUGGCUGCUGGCUGUGGGGCACUUGGAGGUGCUCCCUGCCUCUCCUCACCAUAGUGGAACCACAAGGGUAUCUGAGGGGUAGGAGCAGUGGCUGUGCCAAAGGGGGGCAGGGACAGUGUCUUUAAAACUCCCCAGUGUUCCACAGAGGCAAGAAGUCUGGGUCUUCCCAUCUGGAAGGGGCUCCCUUGCGCUCUGAGAACCCCCAGGUCUGCCUGUCCCUCCUUGUCUUGCUGCUGCAGGAUCGGAAGAUACGAGCCCUGGAGGAAAUGGUGCAGAACCUCCAGGAGCACCAGGGCCAGGUCAGGACGCAGCAGCAGCAGGACCUGGAGACCACAAUCCUGCGGCUCCAGCGCCAGGUUGAGGAGAUGGAGGUGAGAGAGG